rnacentral:rRNA from 1 species
GAAUCAGUACAGACAUGAUGAACUGCAAUCC